GGGACAGGUGCCCGGGACACAGGUGCUUUGUGACCCCCUCCCUCAGGCCCCUCAUUACUGCCAUGUGCAGCUGUUUGAACCACCUUCAUUCACACUGAUCCUAAUGCAGUGCAGUAUGGCUGCUGGCCUUGGGUUUAAAUUUAGGCCCCUUUUGUCCAAACACAUUGCUGUGUAUGAGACUGAGUGCGGGGCUGUGUUCUGUCAGUCUUUCCUGCACAUGCUUUGUCCAUGCAGUAAUGCUUUAUCUGGACUAUGUAAGCAGGUUAAGACACUGCUUAUUUUAGAGAAGGUUACGUGAUACUUGCUUGUUUUCGUUAGUAAAAAUGUCAGCGUGAAUGUCAUUUUGAUUGCACAUGGUCUUUGCUGUGCUAUGUAAGGUCAGGGUGCCAUUUUGGCUCUAGUAAUGGUCCGUUCACACUUGCUGAAAGUCUCUUGCCGUUUUAUAGGCUUAGUGGCACGGCUGCAUUUCAGCAGGGAAAAUCGGAGCAGGGUCCUUUUUUCCCCCACUUUGUACAAUGCAGCAGCUGGUGGCUGGUCACAGACAAGCAAAGUGCAGUGGGCCGCAGAAUUUUUUCUGGUUUUCCCCCCAGUGCAGCUCUGUGGUAAUCUGGCUGCAGAUGUUCAGAAAGUGAGAUUGUGCCCUGGGUUUGUGAUGGUAUGAUGACCCUCCAGUAAGAUUCAGAAGUUACCCCAGUUUCAUGAUAUCAGUGGGUAAAUUGUAUGAAUAAUGGCUAUUCAUCACAUUAUCAUGUAGCAUGUACUGCGUGCUUUGUUUUCCCAAAAAUAAUUGUUUGAAGCUCACAAUUCCUGCUGUUUGGUGAAGUGGGCGGCUCACAGUGAGAGGAGUGAGGCUCAGAGAGAGGUGGGCGACUCUGACAAACUUUCAGGAGAGUGUGGGAGAAACUAGCUUUCAGAAUAGAGUGGGAGAGACUAGCUUUCAGGAGAGUGCGGGAGAAACUAGCUUUCAGAAUAGAGCAGGAGAGACUAGCUUUCAGAAUAGAGUGGGAGAGACUAUCUUUCAGGAGAGUGCGGGAGAGACUAACAUUUGGAAUUGUGUGGGAGACUCUUGAUUUCGGGAGAGUGUGGGAGAGACUAGCUCUGGGGAGAGUGUGGGAGAGUACAGAAUAGCUUUCACUUUCUCCGGAGUGCACAUAUCAGAGUUGGGCUCCAUCUCAGUCCACUCUAUGGGGAACCGGUGCCAUAGUGCCACUGGAUUUCAGUACCCAACGAUAGCAAUGUCAUCAUCUGUGGGCGCCCCGCUAGUGAACGCUGGCAGUAACUACAUGAGGGCUGCUGAGAAAUCCCUGCUUGACCCCUCGAAAACUCACUGUCAUCGAUGACUUCUGUCAAGGUGCCUGGCUGUUUCAUUUCACUAAUCAUGCCUUAUAAGAUUAUUUUUUUGCUGACUGAUUUAAUAAACCCUGGUUCUCCUGGUUCAGUCCUUUCCGUAUCUUUAGCUUCUGUCCAAUGGUUGUCUUCAGCAGGGCCCAGGCUCCUGAUGCAUGGUGGCUUCCCCCUGCGUUUGGAGUGUGUUUACAAAAUACACACAAGCUCAAGGAAAAGAGCCCUUCUUUACCGAUCAGUUAUUGUUCACCAGGCUGUUGGCACACACUGCCUCUGUAACCCUGGAAAGUGUGGAAAUGUUGAGUUGCGGUCACUCACAGAGCCUUAGGCAUUGCGUGAUCUACAGCGUUAAAUCAUGGUGUGGUGUGAGGUAGUACUCACUGUAUUAUUGGAAAAACACGAGAAGCUCACAGCAGUGGUUUAAGAGUCUGAGGCCGACUGGAGCCAAAAGCAGCCAUGCGCUAGGCAGGCAUGUCACGGCCAGAGAUGAAGGCUUCCUCUUCAUUGCAUUUUGGCGUGAAGCUCAGAAUACAUGCAUUUUUCAGUCAUUUAAAAGCAGGUGAAAACCUGUGGUAUUUUAAAAUUUUUCCUGGCUGCAUGACACCAAUAUCUCUCAGUGUGAUAAAUAUUACAGUACCUCUUUGUGUGUAUGUCCUAGUAAAAUGGCAUAUUCAGUAUCCAGAAGAUCAGCAAACUAGCUGCUACUAAAAAGGGUGAGAAAAUGAUUUUGUUUGUCAUCAUUUCUUUCCUGACUUAACUGCUGCUGAUGGUUAAAUAUUGCCGCUAUAACUAUUUACUGGGAGAUGAGUUUAGGAGGAAUUUACAAACUCUGCAAUGGAGGCAGUUAGCUAUAGCAUGACCAUGAAUCAGUCACUAAGGCAAGUGCGAUGAAGUUUGAGAAAGCUUUCGAAAUGUAGGAAUAACAAGCUAAUCUUGUUUGGAAAAAUAAGCCAAAUUACUGUGACUAGAUUGAAAUGGUUCUUUUUUUGUAGAAAAUGUUACAGAUGAGAGAUGAAUAUAACCCUGCUGUCUUGACAAUAAUAAGAGAUCUUCACAUCUCGGGCUCUGUAAAAAAGCAAUGCUCUGAUUAGAAUGUACACAUUAGCACACACUUUCGCAUUGCAGUGGUAAUGUGGCUACAUGCGGAGUGUUGGUUUUUUGGGCUUAUCAUCCAGGUAUUUGUGAGUGAGAAUACGCUAGGUUAUCGUAGCCUUUUUGUUUGGGCCCCCUAGUGGCGUAGACGCUGGCGUCUACAUCAAACAUCCUACUGUAACAUGUCAGAAGGCGUGCUAUCAUGGAAAACUGCAUUUCAGAUUUAUCAGUGCUUGUCGGGCUAUUUUCAGGCUAAAUUUGAUGUUUCUACUGUUGUUUUGUAUAGAGUAUCUUUGACCACUCUUGUGUGAUCUACGUGACAGCAAACUGGAUUGAAGACACUGGACAUUUAUAUAUAGUUAUGAGUUGGUUACAGUUCUUUCACCACCAAAAAAUUGUGUAGUAUAUCACAGCAACAAGAAAAAACACCUGAGGUCCUGAAUGUAGGUCAAUAAAACUGCUAUUUCACCUGCUCA